CUGUCCUCCACAGAAGCAUUGUCCUUGUGACCUGAGUGGCUCAGCUACCUUUGUAUGCUCUGGAGACAUUUCCAUGGAUGGGAAGGUAAAGCAAGAGGACAAGAGAACAAGUCAAGGGAAGGUUCUGGAGCACACCAAGUAGAAAGAGUUGCACAACAUGCAUUCAGUAACCACAAGCAACUAAAGCAGGAGAUAACUGAGCUGGCAACAAACCCAUGGUUUCCAGUCACUAAAAUGUAUGUGAGAAAGGGGAGAUGUUGAAACACUUUGGGCCACCAUGGCAACAUGGUCCUGCUUAGCAGUUGUUUGUCCAGUCCAGGAGGAACAUCAUUGUUGCCCAUCAAAAGCCUGACCAAGCUUAAGAUGAAGGACAGAAGAGGUCAACAGGCACUUGAAGAGGGAUUCACCAGGUUUAAUUGUUCAGCAGUUUCUAGCAAGGCACUUUCAGUGGAAAACUCUUGACUCUGAGGUUCUCUUCCAAGGAAGACCAGAAUGGGUUAAUUGACCUGUGGGGUCCAGACAGGCUUUCACCUGAAGCAGAAAUGGACAAGUUGGUUUUGUUUUGGAAUUACACACAGUGAAAAGAGAAAACCAUUGAGAAGCGGUGAUUUGGU